rnacentral:lncRNA from 1 species
AUGGCCCUGCAAGCAGCACGGAGCAUGCGGGCCGUGCUCUGCAGCCUGCGCGCGCUCUGGGCACCCGCCGUGCCCUGCCUGCCAAGGCCCUGGCAGCUGGGGGCGGGCGCCAUCUGGACGCUGCUCACAGGACCCGUUCUGCUCUGGGUGUGUAAAUUCACAGAGAAGCAUGAAUGGAUAACAACAGAAAAUGGUAUUGGAACAGUGGGAAUCAAUAAUUUUGCAAACGAAGCUUUGGGAGAUGUUGUUUACUGUAGUCUGUCUGAAGUUGGGACAAAAUUGAACAAACAAGAUGAGUUUUGUGCUUUGGAAAGUGUGAAAGCUGCUAGUGAAAUCUAUUCUCUUUAAUCAGGAGAAGUAACUGAAAUUAAUGAAGCUCUUGCAGAAAAUCCAGGACUUGUCAACAAAUCUUGUUGUGAAGAUGGUUGGCUGAUAAAGAUGACACUGAGUAACUCUUCAGAACUGGAUUAACUUAUGAGUGAAGAAGUGUAUGAGACAUACAUAAAAUCUAUUGAGGAG